rnacentral:lncRNA from 1 species
AGAUAUGACUGUUUGAAGCCAGGCUGUCUAUUUAAGGAAAGUUACCCGGAUUAAAGAGAGGUACUUUUCCUUGCCCUAUCAGAUUUAACUCGUUUUUAAUAAUUAAUUAGGGGUCUAAACUGAUUUGGUUCAGUUUACACAAUCCUAAUUUACUCUAGGGUUUUAGAAAAGAAUUCAAGAAGAGAAAAGAGGAGAAAAGUCAAGGCGUUCAUCAAGUUUCUUGCGAAAUCGAAGGUCGUUUCGCCAAGGGUUUGAUCCCUAAGAGGUAUGUAAAUUUCUCAUAGUGUUGGGUUCGUUAACCCACACGCCAAUCAUGUUAUUUUUCAGCGAAGUUUCGUUCUUGAAGUUGAAGAAAUUGAGUUCUUGAUUGUUUCUUGAAAGUGUUGUUUCCGUUGUUGAAUUUGGAUGGGUUUGAUGAAUUCUUGAGAUAAAAGUUAGUGAAUUGAGGGUGGUUUGGAGUAGAUUAUCAUGUACAUAAGUUGAGUAUUCGAAUCUAAGUGAUUGGGAAAGAAACCAUUCGAUUCUAGGAGAAUUAGGGUCGAAAAACGAGUAAGAAAAGAUAGGGCUUGUUCCCCAAAGUGAAAUUUCCCUCACCACAUCGCGGAGAGAACGCGGACUCCACUGUUUCAAAAAUUAUUUCGCGACCAAAUAUUAUAAGUCAUCUCCGCGUCGCGGACUUGCUCCCCAGACAGUGUUUUUCAACCUUUUCUCAUUAUUAACUAUCUAAAACUCAUUUAAUCAUCAUGAUAUACUUCCUAUUACAAAUCAUAACCUUGAAUUCAUAAUUCGAAUUCAAGGUAGAAUUAAGAGUCAUGUUUUGAGACUUCUUCGAGUCAGUUUAAGAAGUCAUUUACAAAUCUUUUAAACUUGUUUUAAGACUUGAGCAUUCGAGUUUGAGGAAGAGUAAAGUUGAGUUCAUUUUAUUUAAUAUGCUAUAUAUGAACUAAGUAUUCCCAAGAGCAAAUGUUUUUACAUUUAAGAUGAGAGGAAACACCAAUUUCCAAAAGAGUUUUCAUGAGCAGUUCUGAGUACCAUCUCUUUUAUGAGAAAGAUUUUUGAGUAAUAAUCUCAAACCACAUAAAUAGUUAUUUUUUUAAAAUCAUAUGAGCUAGUAUAUUUUGGGCGUAGUAUUGAGCACCGAUAUGGGGUAGAGUUCAUACAACUCACAGCCCUCAUAAACCAUGUAGCCAAUGUGGGUAGAAAGGGUCAAACUUUUUAAAUGAUUCCUUAAUGCUUUUUAGCAUAGACUAGUGGAUCCACUUAGUAGUAGGUUCUAUACCCUGAAAAAGUAUAGGAAAGUUCUGGCAGCAUGGGCUAGAUGCUGUAUCAUCACAUAACUCAUAGUGAUGGCUGUCGGUUAGAGAAUCUCCCACAGACUUAUUUUGUAUCUUUAUAUAUACAAACUGAGUUAUAUUGUAUUUUGAAAUGCAUUGAGUUUCCGUCUACUAUUUAAAAACUUUUCAUUUAUAUUGCAUCUUUAUCAAUGCUUUAUAUCAAAAUGAGUUGAGACGAGGUAAGUUGUUUCUUUAAUUCCAGUUCAAACUUAUGUCUUGUUUUAGAUUUCCCCUUCCAUGCUCGUACAUUUCAUGUACUGACGACAUUUGGCCUGCAUCUUCUAUGAUGCAGAUACAGGUAACCAGGAUCAGCAUCAAGUGCGUCGUUGAUCCCAUCGAGUUCCAGAGUCAUUUGGUGAACCUCCUUGCUUCUAGAGGACCCCUUUAUUAUGUUUUGUUAUUCUGUUUUGUUAGGAUGAUCGGGGGUCUUCUCCCGACAUCCCUCAUAGUAUUUAGAAGCUACAUGGAUAUAUAGAUGUAGUUCAUGAGUCUUAUUCAUUUCAUUUAUUGUUGUCUGAGACUUGAGUUACCAUUUUGAGUAGUUGAAUGUUUACUUCUAAAAUAUUCUGAGUUUAUCUAUUGAGAC